GGUCUUGUGGUCAAGGAUCAGGAAUUUAUCGAGGCAACCAAGGAGCCCAGCAUUACAUUCUUGGUAGCAAAGUUUGAUGGCAUACUUGGACUCGGAUUUCAAGAGAUAUCAGUUGGAAAGGCUGUACCUGUGUGGUACAACAUGGUCAAUCAGGGUCUUGUUAAAGAACCUGUUUUCUCAUUUUGGUUUAACCGCAAUGCUGAUGAAGAUGAAGGAGGUGAGAGGGUGAGAUUGUUUUUGGUGGGGUGGACCCCAAACAUUACAAGGGUGAGCAUACAUAUGUCCCUGUAACACAGAAAGGGUAUUGGCAGUUUGACAUGGGUGAUGUUUUGAUUGAUGGUAAAACAACUGGAAUUUGCGGCAGUGGCUGUGCUGCAAUUGCUGAUUCUGGAACAUCUUUGUUGGCUGGUCCCACGGGUAUCAUUGCUGAAGUGAACCAUGCCAUUGGAGCAAC
rnacentral:misc_RNA from 1 species